rnacentral:sRNA from 1 species
UGUUAUUAGUUAAAGUGCCAUCUUGUUC